rnacentral:rRNA from 1 species
AGAGCGAACGCUGGCGGCAGGCCUAACACAUGCAAGUCGAGCGCCCGUAGCAAUACGGGAGCGGCAGACGGGAUAGUAACACGUGGGAACGCGCCCUUCGGUUCGGAAUAACUCAGGGAAACUUGAGCUAAUACCGGAUACGCCCUUACGGGGAAAGAUUUAUUGCCGAAGGAACGGCCCGCGUCCGAUUAGCUAGUUGGUGAGGUAAUGGCUCACCAAGGCGACGAUCGGUAGCUGGUCUGAGAGGAUGACCAGCAUCACUGGGACUGAGACACGGCCCAGACUCCUACGGGAGGCAGCAGUGGGGAAUAUUGGACAAUGGGCGCAAGCCUGAUCCAGCCAUGCCGCGUGGAUGAUGAAGGCCUUAGGGUUGUAAAGUCCGUUUAACGGGAAGAUAUGACGGUACCCGUAGAAUAAGCCUCGGCUAACUUCGUGCCAGCAGCCGC